rnacentral:rRNA from 1 species
CAGUCGCCGCGGGAAUACGAAGGGUGCAAGCGUUAAUCGGAAUUACUGGGCGUAAAGCGUGCGUAGGCGGUGAGUUAAGUCUGCUGUGAAAUCCCCGGGCUCAACCUGGGAAUGGCAGUGGAUACUGGCUCGCUAGAGUGUGUCAGAGGAUGGUGGAAUUCCCGGUGUAGCGGUGAAAUGUGUAGAGAUCGGGAGGAACAUCAGUGGCGAAGGCGGCCAUCUGGGACAACACUGACGCUGAGGCACGAAAGCGUGGGGAGCAAACAGGAUUAGAUACCCCCGUAGUCCCUGUCUCUUAUAC